rnacentral:rRNA from 1 species
GCUGACGAGUGGCGGACGGGUGAGUAAUGUCUGGGAAACUGCCUGAUGGAGGGGGAUAACUACUGGAAACGGUAGCUAAUACCGCAUAACGUCGCAAGACCAAAAAGGGGGACCUUCGGGCCUCUUGCCAUCGGAUGUGCCCAGAUGGGAUUAGCUAGUAGGUGGGGUAACGGCUCACCUAGGCGACGAUCCCUAGCUGGUCUGAGAGGAUGACCAGCCACACUGGAACUGAGACACGGUCCAGACUCCUACGGGAGGCAGCAGUGGGGAAUAUUGCACAAUGGGCGCAAGCCUGAAUGCAGCCAUGCCGCGUGUAUGAAGAAGGCCUUCGGGUUGUAAAGUACUUUCAGCGGGGAGGAAGGGAGUAAAGUUAAUACCUUUGCUCAUUGACGUUACCCGCAGAAGAAGCACCGGCUAACUCCGUGCCAGCAGCCGCGGUAAUACGGAGGGUGCAAGCGUUAAUCGGAAUUACUGGGCGUAAAGCGCACGCAGGCGGUUUGUUAAGUCAGAUGUGAAAUCCCCGGGCUCAACCUGGGAACUGCAUCUGAUACUGGCAAGCUUGAGUCUCGUAGAGGGGGGUAGAAUUCCAGGUGUAGCGGUGAAAUGCGUAGAGAUCUGGAGGAAUACAGGUGGCGAAGGCGGCCCCCUGGACGAAGACUGACGCUCAGGUGCGAAAGCGUGGGGAGCA